rnacentral:tRNA from 1 species
GAUUAUUUAGUAUAAGUAUUAUGUCAGACUGUAAAUCUGAAGAUGUUGUUUUCUUCAAUAAUCA